GCCCCAGUAGCUCAGGGGACAGAGCAGGAGCCUUCUAAGCUCUUGGUCGGGGGUUCGAAUCCCUCCUGGGGCGCCA
rnacentral:tRNA from 1 species